CGGGGCGUUAGGCAAUCUGGUGCACCGAAGUGCUCCGUUAUGACGGUGUUCUGUGUGGAGCACAACCUGCGAAGAAGAAAUCUAGUUUCCGACACGGAUUUGGAAAUGGCAGUGGUUUCUUCCAUCAACAAGACGGGACCGACCUAUGGUCGAACAUUUAUGACGGGAUACCUAUCAUCGAUCGGUGUGCAUGCUGGGGAAAGCAGUUGGGAGAGUCUUACGAGACGUUCAUCAGCCAUACCACGAUUUGCGAAGACAUGGUGCUCGUAAUCUGAACCCCAUUCCCUACCAUGCAGAAUAUAUGGGCCAUAAACUGCAUAUGGAUCAAAAUGAGAAGCUCGGCAUGUUCGGUGUCACAUAGGCCUAUGUGGUGGCAGUUGACGGCAACAGCAGCAAAAUUGUUGCAAAUGCCACCAUGCCUGUGAAAAACAAUCUGAUUAUUUAUGAGCAGGUAUACAGGUGCGUCCUACACAAGGUUUCCUUUACAAGGUAGAGGAAUACCUAAUGAACUAGCUGCAGCAGGAUGCCCAGCACAGAUAUCGGAGGACCUGCUACCCAGUGCUUCUGUUGCUGCUGACAGAUAUGAGCAGGAGUUUGGAAGCUCUCUCAGCAGGGAGGCAGCCUUUGGUGUGGACCCCUUUCACACUGAGGCAGACAGGAGCCAGGCACAAAGGGACUUUGCGGUGGCCUACCCUGAUCCCUCUGUCAUUUUUGACAAUGUGGUCAACAAUGACCAUAGUGCAUUUCAUGAAGCCCUUUUCUGCCUGCUGAAUGCCACGGAGAGGAAUGUGUGAAAUGUUUUGAUGGAUGUGUGACUGCCUGUGUAUAUUGUUAAGUGUUAAGUGUGAUUAACUGUAAAUGUUCUUAAUGAUGCUGUUAAUAAUGUAUGUGUUUAUCUGCCGUUUUCACAGUGGAGUUUGAAGAAAAGACUUCAAUAAAACCUGUUGCAAGGAAACCACUUGUGUCUGCAAAUGCUUGAGAGGGAUUUAUAGAACUGUCAUAACCGGACAGCUGCUAAAUAUUUUACAUUUGUCCAUUUACAUGUGAAUCACUAUUUUGUAACCAAACAAAAUAGUAUGUAAAAUGAAUGACAAUAGAACGAUUUUCAGAAAGAACUACAAUUUAAUGGGCAAAUAACAAUUUAACAUAACAUUUUAACACAUAAUAAUAGUAAUAACUAAUUUAAAAUAGA